CCUUCUAGGUCCCGGCCUGUUGAGGCUGCGGCCCAGACUCGGGGCUGUGUCGUUCUCUGGGUGGGUGAUACGGGAUCACGAUUUUCUCUUUCUGUGCCCGGAAAUCACGGGAACAACCAUCCCUCGCCUAUUUUAUGUUUUAUAGGUUUGCAUUUAAAAUUCUCGCCGUGAUGCAGUGGAAAGCUAAGGAGACUGGGGCUGUGGGGUCACUGCUGUCCGCGGGAGGAUAAAUGACUUUAGAAGGCUGUUUCCCUGUUCGAGGCCUGGUGAUGCUCAUGGCCCGUGGCCCGGGCUGGGAGUGGAGGGUUCCCGGCUCCUCUACCUGCCCCCUCCCGUGACUGUGUGCAAGGUGAAGUUCUGUGACCUCUGCAGGGCCUGGAUUUGUGUCUCUGCUUCCUGGGCAUUAACUUUAGUUAACUGUAUACUGAAUGGAUCCAGGCAGAUUUCACACUCUAAAGCCAGAACCCUGCAAUUCCUCUCCACGGAGAGUGACCUGCGGCAGGGUUGCUGAUGCAAAGCCAUCUGCUGAUGUAAGGAGCAAUAAACAUUCCUGGGAGGGAUCCAGUGAGAUUCCAGAAAUCUCUGAGCAGCCGUGGGUUCCACAUGUCCUCUGGCCCGGGGAAUGGGCCUCUUGCAGAAGUUCAGAGCUGUAACGUACAUCAAAGCCUCACCCAGCUCACUCUCAGUCUCUUCUUCUCUGACACCCCAGCCAGCGAUCAGGGCAGCUCACACCAAGUGCCCGCCAGCCAUCCUCUAGCCAGACCUGCUGGCCGCCACCCUCCACUCUGCUGUUACUUGGACAACAGCAGCUCUGCCCCCUGCUGGUUAUUGCU